GGCGGGGCCUCCGCGGCUCCCCGGGGAGCGUGUCGGGUGAGGAAACUGAGGCUGCUGGGGGCACGCGGCCAACGCCUCUGCCAGCCUGGGGCCCGGGGCGAGAUUCCUCAGCCCGGAGACUCGGUUUUCUCAUCUGAAAAAUGGGCCAACUCCCGUGGGCCAAGCCCGUAAAAGUGCUUAGCAGGGUGCGGGGUUCACGCGAGCCCUCCACAGCCAUUGCCGCCUCUAAUCCGCAAAGCGCCCCCAUAAAUAGCCGAUCCCGGCCGGGGCUGCAGAAAGGAUCACUAACUCGCGCAUGACCAUAUGGCUGAGAAAAUGGACCCGACGCUGGAGCCAAGUCUAACUCCAGAGCCGUCGCCCCAAAUCCCCAAAUCGGACAUUGUCCCCGGAGUGACAGCUCAGGCGAGCCGGAGGCCGCGUGGCUCGCGGAGCCAACCCGCUGCUGCGAGUUCCCGCGACCCUUCUGAGAAGGCCUCUUCCUCCUCAUCUAACCGGGAGAAAAACACCUCCCUCGGGGGCUUUGAAGCAUGCUGUGUCCCAGCACUGCUGUGGGGAGGGACUUGCAGCAGCAAGCCCAGUGUGAGGAGAGGACAUUUGCACAGGAACCUGAACAUAUGGAGAAAGGACCCACACUCCAGCCUCGCAGAGAGGAGAGAGAACAACCAGGGGGAGCGGCAGGCAGAGGAAGAAGUAGGCUCUCU